GGCAACCUUGUGGAAAAUGGCGUCAAAAGUAUGCCAUGCAAGUUGGGAUUUGCAUGCAUAAGCUCUCCAUUCUCCACUCAUGGAAAGAGGUGCCCGAGUCUUUGAAAAAGAUGAUUUGGGAAGAUACUAUGAAUCAAUUCCAUAUUGCAAAUGAUGAAGCCAAGAAGAAUGUGUUUCUAUCCGCGGUUGCCUAGAGGUUUCGAGAAUUCAAGGCCAAGCUAGUGUCGGGGUGGAUCACGAAGCGGAGAAAAGUCGGGGGUACAAAGAAGAAGAAAAUCUACGGGGGAGCAACACAUUCUUCUUCUGAGGCUUCACCGGACACAUCAUUUGAGGCGCCCUCCAAGUUUCCAUAUCAGAUAUGGAGGCAUAUCACACCUGAGGAGUGGCAUGCAUUUGUUGCACAAAAAACAACCCCGGAAGCUGUUGCAUCUCGUGAGAAAAAUAGCGCGAAUGCAAAAGCUAGGAAGUACUAUCACCAUCUGGGUUCUCAGUCGUAUGGUCAGGCGAGAGAAUCGUGGAUGUAUAGCCACUACCCC